rnacentral:lncRNA from 1 species
UAUAAUCUCCUUAACCGUGUGAUGUGUUAGCAUGUUGUUGGGAAGCCUAAUGGUUUCAGUGGUGGGUCUCUUUCUGCAGCAAGUCAAAAGACACGACAACAAAAUCUUCUGGACAGAAAUCCAAGGAUGAUGGUAAGCUUAAGAACAACUUAAAUGAUGGCACCUCAAAAUCUGGCGGGAGAACUGACGAUACAACCAGCAGUAAAUCUAGGGCCCAAUCUAAAAAGAGCAGUGGCAAAUCUGUUAAUGAUACUGAAAAGCCAUCUGCUCGGUCUAAAGAUGUUAGCAGUAGUACUCCCAAAUCCAAGUCCAAGCAAGAUACCCCGUCAGUGACUGCCAACAAGUCCAAGCAAGAAACAGUUACAACUGCUGUCAAGUCCAAAAAUAAAACCCCUCAAAGUGGCGGCAAGCCCAGUGGCAAUGGCAUGGAGAAGCUAAAAUUUAGCUCGUCGAAGGUUAAAGGAAGUGGGAACGAAAAGGAAAAAGCAACUAAUUUGGCGAAAGACCCUGAUAGCAGCUCUAAGGGAAAACUCUCUAGUGCGUCGAAGGAUGGAGAAAGUGAGGCAAAGAGUGGAAAGAAGCGUGGGAGAGGGAAGAACUGAUUAUUUGAUGCACAUCUGUAAUAGUGGAGCUGCUCUGUUCGUUCCUAUGCUACAUUCUUGGACCUGUUUCAGCUCACUGAAGAGGCUAUAGAGCCUAAGUAUACCUUGUAUGCUAUUUGCUGUUUGGCACAAUCUGGUGUCACAGCUUGCAAAUGUGUCUUAGGUUCUUAGUUAUGUUGGUACUAGGUUUCUGCUUAGUUUUGUCAGUUAAGCAUAUUGGUAGCUGUAAUUGGUUAGUUUUUAUCAUUUUGGUUGCUAGUUGUAUUCACCCCUAUUAUUUUUAACCCUAUCAUUUUGAGUUCUUAAGCAUAUUGGUAGCUGUAAUUGGUUAGUUUUUAUCAUUUUGGUUGCUAGUUGUAUUCACCCCUAUUAUUUUUAACCCUGUAGCUUAGGAAUUAGAUACCCUGUUGGUGAGAAGUUUAUGGAUGUGUAAGCUGGAUGAUAAAUUACUACUUUUUGUCCUCGCAGCUGGUAAUCCAAAUAGGGCUUUAAUAUGACUGUAAGAUGUUACAUAACUUAUACUACUUGGUUUGCUUGCUUCAUCUGGAGGUGGCAAAUUAGAUAAAUUGGGCCUUAGGCAGGCCAACCUAUUGUGGGGUAGAGCCUGUCGUGCGAUCUUUCCUUUAAUGAUUUUCUGUCCUUGUCGGAGUUGAGAUUUUGGUAUGUCUUUGAUGCUUGAGGGGAGUCAAUUCUCAUAACAUGUCUCUACUAUUUCCCAGAAUGAACCUCUUUGACGCAUGUGGUGCUUCUAAAAAUUCACACGAACCCAAAGAAAUUAAUGUGUUCUUUAUUUUUUUACACAAAAAACAAUGUUUAAAUUUUGAAGAUAUUCUUGUUUUGUUUGCAAAAAGAGGAAUAAUUUCUACAACAUGAAAAUAAAGUACUCAUUUGUUGAAAUAAAAGAAAAUAUUUUUUUUGUUGAAUGAAACAAAAUAUCUUUUUCUAAACCAUGUAAAGAAAAUACUUUUUUUGUUGAAACGUAUUAAAAGAAAAUGCUUUUUGCUACAUUAUUUUGAUGAAAUGAAAGAAAAUAUCUUUUUACUAUACCAUUUUUCUUUGAAACAAGAUAAUAUUUUUUUUACAUCAUGAAAGAAAGUGUUAUUUUUCUUUCAGGAAAAAUGUCACAUUUGUUCCUCUACUAUUAAAUAUUAAUUAUAUAUAUAUCGUAUGUUAUACUAUUCGAAGAUAUUAGCCAUUGCCGUUAUCUUUUUUAAUAUUUUGCCCCUCCUUUUAACGGACAAUCAGACUCAAUUCCAAACUGAAACGUGGCAAAAAUCUGUAGAUACACAACUGAAAUAGCUAACCCAUAUCCAAAAUUUGGAUCUUUCCUCCCAAAACAAAUCAAACUAUGUACCAUCUUUUCCGAUAUCAGGAAAAAAAAAGAUAAUUUUAUGAUAUAAUCAUCUUUAACAUCUCCUUCUUCCUCAUCCCUACCCAAAAACGGAUAAACUCUUAUCAAGAAACUUGUUGAAUCUCGGCUCUUAGCAUCUCCUUAAAACAAAUAUAUGGAACUAGCUGUAGGCACCAGGAUGAAAUGUUCAUCAUUUCCCACAAAAAAAAAAUACAAAUUCAAACAUAAAGUCUGUAAUAUUCAUUGAAAACAAAAAGACUCCAAAACCCAAAAUGGAAAGAUCCAAUUGAAUUCACUAGAAGUUAUUAAUAAAAGUUAAAAUUAUGCUAAAUCAGAUUCUUCCAUGAAUCUUGGGUAAUUGAAGGCAAAAAAUAUCGAAUUCUCUAGAAGUUAUUAAUAAAAGUUAAAAUUAUGCUAAAUCAAAUUCUUCCAUGAAUGUUGGGUAAUUGAAGGCAAAAAAUAUUAAUUUAGAUUCAUAAGCCAUUUGGGUAAUUGAAAAUCAAUCAGCAUUUGGUAGCUCUUGAAAUGAGAAGAAAGAGAGAGAACAUGAGUGAUAGGAGAGGAGAAGUCGAGGUAUUUGGCGGAAGGAUUGGGUCAGGGUGGGUUUAAUUAAAAGAAUGGGAGAAUGGGACGGGUUGUCUUGUCCAAUCAUAAGAUGAUACGAGCUACUAAAAAAUAUAGCGGAAAAAUAUGAACGCACAUGCCAGGCAGAAGAAGAUAAAACCUAGAAAUGCUGAAUCAUCAGUGAAGCAUGAAAAAGUGGAGGCUUCACCUAAAAGGUUGUAUAAUCUCCUUAACCGUGUGAUGUGUUAGCAUGUUGUUGGGAAGCCUAAUGGUUUCAGUGGUGGGUCUCUUUCUGCAGCAACUCAAAAGACACGACAACAAAAUCUGGACAGAAAUCCAAGGAUGAUGGUAAGCUUAAACACAACUUAAAAGAAGGCACCUCAAAAUCUGGCGGGAGAACUGACGAUACAACCAGCAGUAAAUCUAGGGCCAAUCUGAAAAGAGCAGUGGCAAAUCUGUUGAUGAUACUGAAAAGCCAUCUGCUCGGUCUAGAGAUGUUAGCAGUACUCCCAAAUCCAAGUCCAAGCAAGAUACCCUGUCAGCGACUGCCAACAAGUCCAAGCAAGAAACAGUUACAGCUGCCGUCAAGUCCAAAAAUAAAACCCCUCAAAGUGGCGGCAAGCCCAGUGCCAAUGGCAUGGAGAAGCUAAAAUCUAGCUCGUCGAAGGUUAAAGGAUUUGGGAACGAAAAGGAAAAAGCAACUAAUUUGGCGAAAGACCCUGAUAGCAGCUCUAAGGGAUAACUCUAGCGCAUCGAAGGAUGG